CGCCCUUCGCCGGCUCCCACCAACCAUUGGCACCCGCCGAAAGUCUGGCCUCUGCCAUUGGCUGCGAAACAUUUUGCGGAGGGAAGAGAAUUAGAUUCUCUGCAGAAGACCUGCAGGAUUGAAUAAAGGUAUAUUGAAUAAUGGAUACAUCGCGACUGACAUCAAAUGCAGUUGGCAGAUGAACAUGGUGAAAGACGCCCUUCGGUCUGCAACGCAUCAAAUGUCCAAAGGAGAAUGCUGCCGACUGACACAUUCCAGACUGCGCGGGCACAGGUAAUCCUGGACCAGAGGUCCAUGAGGCAGUACUCAUCGGAGGAUCAGAGGUGGAGAGGUUCAAUUACUUCAAAUUCCUGGGUGUCACUAUCUCAGAGGACCUAUCCUGAACCUAUAAUAUAAGUGUAAUUGCAAAGAAAGCACGACAGCGCCUCUACUUCCUGAGCAGUCCAUGGAAAUUUGGCAUGUCUUCAAAAUCCUUGGCAAAUUUCUAUAGUUGCCCGGUGGAAAGUGUGCAUUACAGCCUGGUAUGGGAACAUCAAAGCCUUUGAAAACCACUUCAAAAGGUAGUGGACUCAGCUCAGUACAUUACAGGUAAAGCCCUCCCAACCAUUGAGCACAACUCUAUGAAACCUUCUCAUAGAAAAGCAGCAUCCAUCAUCAAAGAUCCUUACCAUCUACGUCAUGCUCUCUUCUCGCUGCUGCCAUCAGGUAGAAGGUACAAGCGCCUCAGGACGCAGACCACAAGUUCAAGAACAGUUACUACCGCUCUUGAACAAAAGACGAUCACUACACUCAUCUAUUUCUGGUGUUCCCACAACCAAUGAUCUCACUUUAAGGACUCUUUAUCUUGUUAUUUCAUGCUCUCAUUAUUUAUUACUAUUUAUUUACAUUUGCAUUUGCACGGUGUGUUGUUCAUUGAUCCUGUUUACAGUUACUAUUCUAUAGAUAUGCUGAA